AAUCAACGCUGGCGGCGUGCCUAACACAUGCAAGUCGAACGAGAAAGUGGAGCAAUCCAUGAGUACAGUGGCGACCGGGUGAGUAACACGUGACCAACCUGCCCUCGAGUGGGGAAUAACUCCGGGAAACCGGAGCUAAUACCGCAUAACAUCGCAAGAUCAAAGCAGCAAUGCGCUUGAGGAGGGGGUCGCGGCUGAUUAGGUAGUUGGCGGGGUAACGGCCCACCAAGGCGAAGAUCGGUAUCCGGCCUGAGAGGGCGCACGGACACACUGGAACUGAAACACGGUCCAGACUCCUACGGGAGGCAGCAGUGGGGAAUUUUGCGCAAUGGGGGAAACCCUGACGCAGCAAGGCCGCGUGGAGGAUGAAGUCCCUUGGGACGUAAACUCCUUUCGACCCGGACGAUACUGACGGUACGGGUGGAAGAAGCACCGGCUAACUCUGUGCCAGCCGCCGCAGUAAUAC
rnacentral:rRNA from 1 species